rnacentral:rRNA from 1 species
GAUGAACGCUGGCGGCGUGCCUAAUACAUGCAAGUCGAGCGAACAGACGAGGAGCUUGCUCCGCUGACGUUAGCGGCGGACGGGUGAGGAACACGUGGAUAACCGACCUAUAAGACUGGGAUAACGUCGGGAAACCGGAGCUAAUACCGGAUAACAUGGUGAACGGGAGGGUUCAACAGUGAAAGAGGGUUUUGCUGUGCCUUAGAGAUGGAACCGGGUCGCAUUAGCUAGUUGGUAAGGUAACGGCUUACCAAGGCAACGAUGCGUAGCCGACCUGAGAGGGUGAUCAGUCACACUGGAACUGAGACACGGUCCAGACUCCUACGGGAGGCAGCAGUGGGGAAUAUUGCGCAAUGGGCGAAAGCCUGACGGAGCCAUGCCGCGUGAGUGAAGAAGGUCUUCGGAUCGUAAAACUCUGUUAUUAGGGAAGAACAACUGUGUGAGUAACUCUGCCCGUCUUGACGGUACCUACUGAGAAAGCCCCGGCUAACUACGUG